rnacentral:rRNA from 1 species
UGGCCUUGACAUGUAGUGGCCCGGGUGCGAAAUCACCCUUUUCUUCGGAACUGCUACACAGGUGCUGCAUGGCUGUCGUCAGCUCGUGUCGUGAGAUGUUGGGUUAAGUCCCGCAACGAGCGCAACCCUCAUGUUCUGUUGCCACCCGGAUGUAAAUCCGGAGCACUCUGGACAGACUGCCUGGUUUUAACCAGGAGGAAGGUGGGGAUGACGUCAAGUCAGUAUGGCCCUUACGGCCAGGGCUGCACACGUACUACAAUGCCUGAUAUAAUGGGAAGCAAGACCGCGAGGUGGAGCAAAUCCUCAAAAUCAGGCCCAGUUCAGAUUGUAGGCUGCAACUCGCCUACAUGAAGGAGGAAUCGCUAGUAAUGCCGUAUCAGCUACGACGGCGUGAAUACGUUCCCAGGCCU